CCUACGGGGGGCAGCAGUGGGGAAUUUUCCGCAAUGGGCGCAAGCCUGACGGAGCAAUACCGCGUGAGGGAGGAAGGCUCUUGGGUCGUAAACCUCUUUUCUCAGGGAAGAACAAAAUGACGGUACCUGAGGAAUAAGCAUCGGCUAACUCUGUGCCAGCAGCCGCGGUAAUACAGAGGAUGCAAGCGUUAUCCGGAAUGAUUGGGCGUAAAGCGUCCGUAGGUGGUUUGUCAAGUCUGUGGUUAAAGCGUGGAGCUCAACUCCAUAACGGCCAUGGAAACUGACAGACUAGAGUUAAGUAGGGGUAGAGGGAAUUCCCAGUGUAGCGGUGAAAUGCGUAGAGAUUGGGAAGAACACCGGUGGCGAAAGCGCUCUACUGGACUUAUACUGACACUGAGGGACGAAAGCUAGGGGAGCGAAAGGGAUUAGAUACCCCAGUAGUC
rnacentral:rRNA from 1 species